ensembl:lncRNA
CCCGCGCUGACACAAACUGCGUGUGUGCGAGCUUGGCAGGGAACCGGGCUCCGUCUGAAUGAUACCGCUCCAAAUUGCGUUCUUACCAUCCCCAAAGCCAGUGGCUGAAGUGGGAGCCCUAUCAGCCUCCAGCUCUGCACCACGGCGGCUUCCUCGGUGUGUGGCUUGGUGCUGAGGCACAGAGCUCGCCGAGUCGCGUUCAGUCAGUUAUCUGAGCACAGCUGCCGGCAGAUAGCCAGUGUCGCACUGUUGCUUCUUGCCGUGGUCUUGAAGAGGCAGCCUGUGCCUGGAAUAAUUUACUGUUUAACUUAGUCGUUGGGCUGUGCUUUUAUUCCUUUCGCAGUUUGGGCAGCGGGAGCGAUGGAGAGCGAAUGCAGGAGUUGGCAGUGCCCAUCUAUGGCCAGGCCUGCCUAAAUGUGGCACGAAGCAGUCUUGGAAGAGGUCCCGUCACGUCAUGGGUGCCUGCCCUUUCCCAGCCGCUUGUGUCCAGCACUAUUUCAGGCUGGGAGAAGUUUGAUUUGUUGCAGAAGGAGAUGCAAGUAUGCAGUGAAAGCAGUUGAUUUUCACAGGGGAAGAGCGAGGUGCAUAUGGUCCGGUCUGCCUGGAUCUUACUCUUGAAUGAGAACAAAGUUAAGAUAAUAAAAUCGUUUCCACUGAGCGUGUUUCCCCUUUGUUGGCAGCCAGGGACUCUCCUGGGAACACACCAGAGGAUUUGGGGAUCAUUUUUUAUGUAUUUGACUGUAGAUAAAUUUUCCUCAUUCUGCAAUUGGGUGUGUUUGCACAGGCAGCUUUUCCGUGCGGCCUGACCAAGAGGUGGAAGCAAUGAGUCCAGGGACCAGCUUUGUUUUUCUGGAAGGAAAUAACAAGUUGACUGUAUGUUCUGAAAGUCAGGCUCCCCUACUUUGCUGCCAAUGCCUGAGGCUGGUCUGAAAUGGGAAUUGAAUUAAUGUUUUUAAACCUUUUAAAGAUUCAUUUCCCUUGUUGCUUUAGUUCUUAUAAAUAGACUGAGAUUUUGGCUCUAAGAAUUAAUUAUUUCCAGUAAAAAUUCCUGAAAAAGAAGGACCCUGUAGAAAUCAACAAAGUUCGUCAAGAAUUCCUUGUUUUGUAAGAAAAACUCGCUUUCAUCUUCUAGAUAGCUCUCCAUUUAAGGACUGCGCUACUCAGAGGCCAUUCUGGUAUUUCUAUGGCUAUAUAUGGAGCCUACUACUCCUCAGUGGUUCCUUAUGAUAGUCUCAGGGCUGAGUAAAGGUCAGGCCAGGAAGCCUUUGAUGGCAAAUCUCUUCAGACCACCUUGAUACCCUUCCUGAAUGCCACGAAUGGGAGAGAAAUGUGAGUAAGCCUUGUGUUGUGCAACCUCUGGGAACUAGUUGCUGCAGGUACAGCAGAAGCACCGUUGUUCCACAUCUACAAGAUAAAUAUUAAUGUUUAAGCUGUGCUUAAUGUAAGUAUUUAUGCCAAAAGGCCAAAAAACGUAUCCUCACAGUCUCUGAAGACAGCCCUUUCCAUUUGCACUCAUUAUUACAGUGGCCGAUUACAACAAAACUUCACAGUUUUUAUAGACUUUCUUUAGGUGACUCACACACGUUGCACAAUUUUACUUGCUUUUUUGGUCUGUUUUCUUAGCUGAUUCUCUCAGAGAGGCUGACUUCCUCAGGGGCUCUCCCUACCUUAGAUGUGUAGAGCUUGUCAAAAACAACGGAAAGUAAAAUUAGGACAGGAAGUUUAAAGUAUAAUUAGUUUUUCUUUCUUCUUUUCCUGAUUUCAAACUGAAAAUUUUGAUCUGUUCUCUUUAUUUACUCCUUAUUUCUUAAACAGACUUGUUUUAAUGCAGAGUUUUCUGUUGGACAGGCUGGUCUCACAAUGCAAAGCUUUUUUUUAAAAUUCCAUAUAUGUAUACUUAAACAUUCUGAAAGCAGAAAAGGAACGAAAGCAAUGAUUUUUUUAGCUCUUUUUUUUCUCCAAGUGAUAUAUUUUUUUUCCUAUAAAAAGUCUCUGCUGGAAGAAGAGCUGUUUUUUUGUUUAAAAUCCCCAAGCAGUUCAAACACACACUCACUCUUUUUAAUGUCUGACACAUUAACUGCUGUAUUGCAGUGCUCAAGAUGUGCUGGUACUGAUGGGACAGGUCUGCUGUUGUCCUCUGUUAAUGAAUUUGUCUUCCUUUCUCUGUGAAAGAUUAAACUUUUAGUUCUGUUGGUUUUCAGUUUCAGUUGCUGGCACCCAGAAAUACCACCAGAAAUGGGAAAUAUGGGCUCGGAUAAUGUAUGUGAAUGAGAAACAUCCUUGUUUCAAGAUGGUUCACUCUUUACAUCUGUAAAGCAAAGAAAGCGUGUUGUAGGCUACCUACGGGACCUGAUCCACGUGUAGACAGAACUGGAUGUUCUCUUUGACCAACAGAGACUUUGCUAGAGAAGAUGCUGCUGGAAGUGCAUGGGAUUAGACUUAAGUCACGUUGUAUUUGUCUUCAAAACAAAACCUAGUCUUUGGGGGCAAAAUACGGUGCUGUGUAACUGAAACUUGCUUCACAUGAAAUCAUCACUGUGACAUGUAUUUGCUUGUCUCCCUGCCUUAGACUGGACAGGUUUGCUUCCUGUGAAGAUCACCUAAGAAUGGGGAGAUGGGCAAAUCUACAUGUUUGAAAAGAGGUUGUGACUCAGUCAGCACUGUAAAACUUUGACAGUUUCAAGAAGGUUGUGGAAACAGUGUAGUUCAAUAAAAUUCACUUCCUGCUGGGC